AUGAAGGGAUUCCUUCAUGGCCAAUCCAAGGGGAAGAAGGCUGUGAAGCUACAUAGGCUAGGCAGUGGCAGCAUGUCCAUCACCACCACGUGUACGUCUACUACCACCACCACGACCACCACUGUUCCUCCUCUGUUGGCCUUGGAGGCAGGCACGGAAGCACAGCUUCCAGAGAUGUCUAAAGAACUGCUGCUCCUUUUCCUAGAGGAGUCUGAGGAGUUACCGGUUCUUUCUGAAGAUCCCCAGUCUCAUUUGGAACCAGUAAUGGCAGGGCAGGCUUCACAGUUCUCCCCACCCCUGUCCCAGAGUCAUCUGUUCCCUCCUCUCAGGCCAGCAGCACAGUCACUCUCUCUCUUCCCAGGGAGUUCUUCCCAGGCCAGCAGUCAGGGGCAGGCAAUGGGCCCUCGUUUGGGCAAACAUGGCAGAGGGGUCAUUUGGGAUCAUUUCAUGGCACUCAGUGAUGACCCAUGGCUGGCACGCUGCAAUGCCUGCCUUGUGGUGGUCUGGAGAGGGCCAGAGCCCAGGCAUCUGUCCUCCACUGCCCUCUGCCAACAUAUGGAGAGGCACCACCCAAGGCCCCUGUCCAGGGAAGGUACUUCGUCCGUGCCGUCUUGGAGAGGGAAAAGAGCAGAUGCAGGGGAGGCAGGAGGAGGCGCCUCCUUUCAAAAGGGCAGCUACAGGGGUUUCUGGGGCCGGGAGCAUGAGGCAGGCCAUGCUCCACGAAGUGGCACCCAUUGGGUCUGCCAUGACCCUCAACCGGCAGUCAAAGGGCAAGGCCCAGCAGGCGGCCACUUGUCUCAUCGCCAAGACAAUCGCCCUGCUCACUGUCCAUCAUGGAAUCCCAAGCCUUCCGACGGUUGCUGCAUUUUUUUUUGCCCCUGGUACAACCUUCCCUCACAGAGAACUCUUAGUUCUAGAGUGCUGCCCUCACUCUAUGACUCUGUGAGGGAAGUGGUCUGUGAUCAUUUUUCAUGGCUACAGGGGCGCAAGGUGCACUUCACAGUGGAUCUGUGGAGCGGAGGUCAACACAGCUACCUCUCACUCACAGCCCACUGGUGGCAGCCAGUUCCGGCUGUUUUUUGGUUGUUUAUAGAGGUGCUGGUUGUAAGUCGAAGCAUUUGUUCCCAUAGGAACAAAUGCAAAAGCAGUUAA
rnacentral:lncRNA from 1 species